CACACCUAUAAGAGGUCACACCUGUAAGAGGUCAAGAGGUCACACCUAUAAGAGGUCACACCUGUAGGAGGUCACACCUGUAAGAGGUCACACCUAUAAGAGGUCACACCUGUAGGAGGUCAAGAGGUCACACCUAUAAGAGGUCACACCUGUAAGAGGUCAAGAGGUCACACCUGUAAGAGGUCACACCUGUAGGAGGUCAAGAGGUCACACCUGUAAGAGGUCACACCUAUAAGAGGUCACACCUGUAAGAGGUCACACCUAUAAGAGGUCAAUAGGUCACACCUGUAAGAGGUCACACCUGUAAGAAGUCCUUAGUUCUUCUCUGAAGCAGCAGACGUGGCGCUGUAAGAACCUUAAAGGGCCGGUGUGUUGGAUCUGGAGACCCCUAGUGGUGAGGGUCCAGAUUACAACCAACUGAAACUCCUGCUUGCCAGAGAACACCUGAGCGUCUCUAGGGCCACAGUUGGGUUUGUCCUCUCUGGGCUCCUGUAGAAACAUGGCGGCUCCUUCUCAGGUGACCAUAACACAACGACUCACAUACAGGUGAGGAACACGAAGAGAACGUUCUACAUCCGGCAGUAACUCCUCCCAAAGGGUCCAACCGGUUCCCUCAGACACAGGGAGCCCCCCAGACUCUUGGCCUGAGCCCCCCAGACAGGCACGUGCUCAGACAUGUUGGGGGCAGGUGCUCAAACCAAAGAAAAGGGCACCCAAUGCCAAAAAUAAAUUCUGACAGAGUUGAAGCGUCAGCAUCAAGACAUGAUGAUGCAAUACAUCCUCUGUAAUGUAAUGGUACUACUUUACAGUCAGGGGUCACAUGACAGGUCCUCCUGCGUGAAGAGACUCCGCCCUGUCAGGGGUCACAUGACAGGUCCUCCUCGUGAAGAGACUCCGCCCUGUCAGG